UAUGGCUCAGGAUGAACGCUGGCGGCGUGCCUAAUACAUGCAAGUCGAACGCAUUACUCGGUAGUGAGUGGCGAACGGGUGAGUAACACGUAGGUAACUUACCUCUAAGACGAGGAUAACGACUGGAACGGUCGCUAAAACUGGAUAGGAUCAUUUGAGGCAUCUCGAAUGAUUUAAAGGGGCUUUCAAGCCACACUUAGAGAAGGCCUGCGGCGCAUUAGCUAGUUGGUGGGGUAGAGGCCUACCAAGGCGAUGAUGCGUAGCCGGACUGAGAGGUCGAACGGCCACAUUGGGACUGAGACACGGCCCAAACUCCUACGGGAGGCAGCAGUAGGGAAUUUUCGGCAAUGGGGGGAAAAACCCCCUGACCGAGCAACGCCGCGUGAAUGAAGACGUAUUUCGGUGUGUAAACUCCUUUUAUAAGGGAAGAUAAUGACGGUACCUUAUGAAUAAGCACCGGCUAACUCCGUGCCAGCCGCCGC
rnacentral:rRNA from 1 species